UACGAAGGGGGCUAGCGUUGCUCGGAAUCACUGGGCGUAAAGGGCGCGUAGGCGGCCAUUCAAGUCGGGGGUGAAAGCCUGUGGCUCAACCACAGAAUUGCCUUCGAUACUGUUUGGCUUGAGUAUGGCAGAGGUUGGUGGAACUGCGAGUGUAGAGGUGAAAUUCGUAGAUAUUCGCAAGAUCACCAGUGGCGAAGGCGGCCAACUGGGCCAUUACUGACGCUGAGGCGCGAAAGCGUGGGGAGCAAACAGG
rnacentral:rRNA from 1 species